UUUUAUAGGAUGAUUUCAAACAGUGGAACAAAGUAGGUGGUUUGAAGAAAGCCACACUCAAACCGUUAAAGCAAUGCAACUUUCUCACACAUAAAGCUAAGACUACUUAAGGGGGCUAUAUGCUGAACUGACUUCUCUAGUGACACAGUGUGUCCAUCCAGUGGGUGAUAUCACACUGAGAGUAAUUAGAUUCUGCAACCACGUUUAUAAUCCUAACAUCCAUACAUGGCCAGACUCCUACAGAUAGGUUCUUGAGAGAUGAGUACAUAUUCGACUGAUCUUUCACAAACCAGCAAGUAUGCAUUUAUCUAUUUAUACAUAUAUUUAUAGACACACAUGCGUUUAAGCUCCUGAUAUCAAGCUCUUUUCUCAGUGUGGCUUCUAAAUAAGCAGUAAUCAAAAUGCACAUCAGGUGACCCAGUUAGCAUCG
rnacentral:lncRNA from 1 species